rnacentral:tRNA from 2 species
GGAAGGGUGUUCCGAAUUGGUAAGGAACCGCUCUCGAAAAGCGGCGCCCGCAAGGGCAUGUGGGUUCAAGUCCCACCCCUUCCGCCA